ensembl:lncRNA
CAGGCGCAGAGGAAAAGCAGACAAGCUACCCGGGACCACCCACUGAGAAGAGAGAUUAGAGCAUAAAGCAAAAGGAUGCACUCAGCAGCUGGGCCUGAAGAAGGACAACAAAGUUUGCUAAGUCUUAGGAAGAAAACAGUCUGAUGGAAAAGAGAGUAGCUAAGGAAAACCACUUUAGACAGGUUGAUCAGAGAAGACCUCUCUGAGGAAGCAACAUUGAGCUAAGUCCUCUAUCACCCGAGUUAAGUUCUGUCUGAUCCAGGACAAGAACAAAGGAGACAAGUACAAAGUUCUGGAGCUGAGAAAAAAGUGAAAGUCCAAUGCUGCCCUCUCAGUGUGGACUUCAGAAAGAACACACAUGGAGCAUAUGCAUAUUGAAGCCAGAACUGAAAAGCCAAACUAAAACAGGUGUGGAAUUCACCUUGUUAAAACUGAAGCUGAAUUUGAGAUAUUAAAAGAAGUUGCAGAGUUUAUUAAAAAUAAAAAAAAU